UACGGUGGGGGUAAGCGGUGUUCGGAAUUACUGGGCGUAAAGGGCUCGUAGGCGGCCAACUAAGUCGGACGUGAAAUCCCUCAGCUUAACUGGGGAACUGCGUCCGAUACUGGAUGGCUUGGAUUUGGGAGAGGGAUGCGGAAUUCCAGGUGUAGCGGUGAAAUGCGUAGAUAUCUGGAGGAACACCGGUGGCGAAGGCGGCAUCCUGGACCAACAUUGACGCUGAGGAGCGAAAGCUAGGGGAGCAAACGGG
rnacentral:rRNA from 1 species